AUGCAGCCCGCCGUGGUGCCGCCGCCGCCGGCUGCGGCGGCCGCGGAUGAGAGGCCGCGCUGCUGGUCUUCUCCCAAGGCCGCGGCGUUAGGGUUCGCGAGGAUUUUAUGCCUCUGCGCCCCGGCGUGCUCCUACGAGGCCGUCCUCCUGGGCGUCCACGUCGACGUUGCGCCGCCCGUGCCGAGGAGGAGGGGGAGGAGGAGGAGGAGGUAUGCCGGCGGUAUGCCUGCUUCGGCGCCGCCGUCGUACAGAGGGUCGGUGGUGCGGCACGCGCUGGUGCGGCGGCUCAUGCUGGAGGAGCUGGCCACGCGCCAGCGCGAGCGGAUGGAGGCGGUUCACGUCGGGUUCCUACGCUCCAAAGAGAUGUGGCAGGCGCCAGGGUGCAGCCGGCUUCGACGGAUGUCACUGCCAACAGAUGCCGCUAACUGA
rnacentral:rRNA from 1 species